AGAGACUGCUGAAUCACUCUGGGCUAGAUAGAUGGUGCUGAAGACCUUUCCCAGCUGAGGCUCUUCGAAGCAGCUCCUCAGCAGAGAAGAGGAAGACAGGAAAGCAAAAGCGUGUCUACCCUGUUCUGUCCCAUGCUGCACUGUCAAGGACAAAGGUGUAAAAAGACAACACCUUCUGUGGACUAUGCAGUGUAUCAGGGAGGCACUGGGACAAAAUGACCCCUUAAGAAUCCUGUUCUGCAUUGGAAUGAGGAUAGAAAGUCUCUGGAGCUUAUAUGCUACCAUUUCCCCUUUGGGCAUCAACAUGGAGAUGGAGGAAGUGUGUGGCUUUUCCAGCCGAAGCACCCUGGAGGGUCAACUCAAAGCUGGACACCCCAUGGUUUCUCCUGGCCAUACCCAUCCGCAGCCUGCCAUGCAGGAGGCUGGGGCUGGGAUGGGGCAAAUUUUCUUACAGGACUGGUGACUGGGGGAUGGGGCAAUGCACAACUGACACAGGGAAAGGCUGAACAUAGGAGGAAUGGGAUUCCAUCAGAGCAAUUUGCCCAGCUUUUUUCUUUAUUUCCUUAUACAUUUUUAAAGCAUAUGUAUUGCUAGUAAAAGUGCUGGCUGGACAAAGCUCA
rnacentral:lncRNA from 1 species